rnacentral:rRNA from 1 species
UCAACUCAUAUGGGACUACCCCCUGAAUUUAAGCAUAUUAAUUAGGGGAGGAAAAGAAACUAACCAGGAUUUUCUUAGUAGCGGCGAGCGAAAAGAAAUCAGUUCAGCACUAAGUCACUUUGUCUAUAUGGCAAAUGUGAGAUGCAGUGUAUGGAGCGUCAAUAUUCUAGUAUGAGAAAUUAACGAUUUAAGUCCUUCUUAAAUGAGGCCAUUUACCCAUAGAGGGUGCCAGGCCCGUAUAACGUUAAUGAUUACUAGAUGAUGUUUCCAAAGAGUCGUGUUGCUUGAUAGUGCAGCACUAAGUGGGUGGUAAACUCCAUCUAAAACUAAAUA